CACUUACUCCCUCGGUCCAAAAAAACUUGUUCCAAAUUUCUCUCUCAAAUGGAUGUAUCUAGCACUAACUUGGUGCUAGAUACAUCCAUUUGAGGGACAAGUUUUUUCGGACGGAGGGAAUAUGUA
rfam:Triticum aestivum genome assembly, contig: Triticum_aestivum_CS42_TGACv1_scaffold_578305_7BL